rnacentral:rRNA from 1 species
CCUACGGGCGGCAGCAGUGGGGAAUAUUGGACAAGGGGGGGAACCCUGAUCCAGCCAUGCCGCGUGUGUGAAGAAGGCCCUCGGGUUGUAAAGCACUUUCAGUGGGGAAGAACGCCUGGUGGUUAAUACCCAUCAGGAAAGACAUCACUCACAGAAGAAGCACCGGCUAACUCCGUGCCAGCAGCCGCGGUAAUACGGAGGGUGCGAGCGUUAAUCGGAAUUACUGGGCGUAAAGCGCGCGUAGGUGGCUUGAUAAGCCGGUUGUGAAAGCCCCGGGCUCAACCUGGGAACGGCAUCCGGAACUGUCAAGCUAGAGUGCAGGAGAGGAAGGUAGAAUUCCCGGUGUAGCGGUGAAAUGAGUAGAGAUCGGGAGGAAUAACAGUGGCGAAGGAGGCCUUCUGGACUGACACUGACACUGAGGUGCGAAAGCGUGGGUAGCAAACAGGAUUAGAUACCAGAGUAGUC